GACAGCGUGACAUAGUGGUUUGAGCAUUAGACUACAACUCUGGAGACCAGGGUUCAAAUCUCCACUCAGCCA